GGAGUGAUGUGCCUCUGGACCUUGUACUUACUAAAAAGGAAGGACUGUCUGGAGAUGUGAAAGCUGGGGGCAGCUUGGGAUGGAGCGAUCAUGAGAUGGCAGAAUUCAAGAUCUUGUGUGAAAGAAGCAAGGCAAUAAAGUAGGAUUGCAACGUUGGACUUCAGGAGAGCCAACUUCAACUUCCUCAAGGACCUAUUUGGAGGUAUCCCAUAGGAAGCCCAUGAGUGUUGCUCCCCUUCGGAUACUGAAAGCCUCUAUCCGGCCACCUCAGAUCCUUCUCUUCUCCAGGAUGAAUAGCCCCAGCUCUCAGCCUGUCCUCAUAGGAGAGGUGUUGGAUCAUUUUUGUGCCCUUCCCUGGAUGCUCUCUAGCAGGUCUACAUCUGUAGUACUGAGGACUCCACAUCUGGAUCCAGCACUCCAGCUAUGCAGGUUCACCAGCUUUUUGGACUUGUGCUCUUACUUCAGUAUCACUGAAUGUUUCUUCCAGUGGAAAUCAA
rnacentral:lncRNA from 1 species